GACGAACGCUGGCGGCGUGCUUAACACAUGCAAGUCGUACGGUAAGGCCCUUUCGGGGGUACACGAGUGUCGAACGGGGGAGUAACACGUAAGUAACCUUCCCACACCUUUGGGAUAGCGCUAGGAAACUGGUGCUAAAACUGGAUAUGUGCUACUUCUGCAUGGGGGGGGUUGGAAAGCUCCGGCGGUUGUGGAUGGACUCGCGGGCUAUCAGCUUGCCGGUGGGGUAGUGGCCUACCGAGGCGGCUACGGGUAGCCGGACUGUGAGGGUGACCUGCCACCUUGGGACUGAGAGAAGGCCCAGACUGCUAAGGGAGGCAGCAGGGGGGAAGAUUGACCAAUGGGCGCAAGCCUGAUGCAGCAAGGCCGCGUGCGGGAUGACGGUCUUAGGGUUGUAAACCGAUUUCAGCAGGGACGAAGCUUUUUGUGACGGUACCUGCAGAAGAAGCACCGGCUAACUACGUG
rnacentral:rRNA from 1 species